AAUGAACGCUGGCGGCAGGCCUAACACAUGCAAGUCGAACGGAUCCUUCGGGAUUAGUGGCGGACGGGUGAGUAACGCGUGGGAACAUACCCAAAGGUACGGAAUAGCCUCGGGAAACUGGGAGUAAUACCGUAUGUGCUCGAAAGAGGAAAGAUUUAUCGCCUUUGGAUUGGCCCGCGUUAGAUUAGGUAGUUGGUGGGGUAAUGGCCUACCAAGCCGACGAUCCAUAGCUGGUUUGAGUGGAUGAUCAGCCACACUGGGACUGAGACGCGGCCCAUACUCCUACGGGAGGCAGCAGUGGGGAAUCUUAAACAAUGGGGGAAACCCUGAUCUAGCCAUGCCGCGUGAUCGAUGAAGGCCUUAGGGUUUUAAAGAUCUUUCAGGUGGGAAGAUAAUGACUGUACCACCAGAAGAAGCCCCGGCUAACUCCGUGCCAGCCGCCGCCGUAA
rnacentral:rRNA from 1 species